AAUCCAUGCAUAGGACAUUUCCAAAGAAAAUCUUUGAACCUUUCCCAUGUUUCAUAUCAUGUUUCAUCCUCUAGUUGCUUGAAGGUUGUUCUCUCAUUUCUCAAUUU
rnacentral:snoRNA from 1 species